rnacentral:lncRNA from 10 species
UUAGCUCACAAUUAUACAGCAAAGUCUCCUGGGAGGGUUUAUAUGUUAAGCUCUGUCAGUAAUUUCUCCCCUAGCAAGAAUGAGGAAGAUGAAGAGCUCGGGUAUCUGAGGGCUGGUGUGUCUGCAUGCGUGUGUGUUUUGGGGGCCGACUGAAGGAAGAGAAGGCUGGAGAGAGGGAACAUGGGUCUGAGGGCACAUCGCUAAGGGGUCAAGAGGCCUAAAGGAGGAGUCUAAGGCUCUCCAUCGAACUUGGACUUGGUCUACAUUAGACUUUAACCUCCAUGAGGCUUGGACUUUCAGGCUUCCUCCCUCACACCGCGGGCAGGUGAGGCGUCUGCUACAGGCCUGGUCUCGCAGAGGGGGCCCAGCGCCCCCCGCCGCCGCCUUCUCCUGGAGUCUGUGUGACAGAAUGGGACCUGUGGGAAAGCAGCACGUCAGCACCCAGCCCCGCUUGCGCGCCAGCAGCUAAUUAAAGCCAGGAAGGUGAUGGCGAUUUUCAACUCAUUCCCGUUACAAACAGCCGACCUUCCUACCGAGUUCAAGUACCUUCUGCCUGGCCUGGAAGAACAAUAUCUCUCUGUCUCCCUCUUCCACUGGCCCUCACCUGCCUUCCCCUGAACAUGCAUUUUGCCUGACAGGAGACAGAGGCAGUUGAGAUGGAGUCUUGCUAUAUGGCCCAGCUGGUAAUGCCUAGAUUCUUGAGUCCCUCCCUGGCUCAUCCCUGGGAGCAGCACUGAACCCCUUGUCUGACACCUGUCUGGAAAUGGAGCCUGCACAUUGACCCUAGAUGCUUGCAGCUUGGUCCAGGAGGCCAGCAGGACCAGAGAGAAGACCACAGCGACACAUGGGGAUGGCUGUCCCACAGGCAGAAAUGAGCAGCCGGGAGGAAGCCCAGGCAGCCAGCCACCCAGCUCCCUCCACAUCGUGGCCCUAGAACGGAGUCUUGAAGAAUAAGAAGCCACAGCUUGUCAGGGAAUCAGGCUGGAAAAAUGUUAUGAGACUGAGUAAGACCAGAGAUUCCUCAGCAGUGCCUGGAGAAGACCAGGAGAGGAAGCAGAAGACCCUCCUCAAAGAAGCAGCCUUCACCUCCAGACCUCCCAGCGGGACUUAGACAAUGGGGUUAGGCAGUCACAUGUCUGCACGUGGAAACUUUCUGGGACUGUGCUUGGAUCCUGGCUCUGCCUUUUACUAGCCAUGUGACCUUGGGAAAAUCACUUGACUUCUCCGUGCAGGAUUCCUCAUCUGUAAAAAUGGUCUAAGAUUAGGAGCCACCUCAAGGUUGUUGUAGGAAUUAAAUUAAUUCAUGUUUAUAAAGUGCUUUGAACAGCGUUUGGCACAUGGUAAGUGCUAUGUGGUAAGUGCUGUCUAUUGAUUACAUAAAUAAAAGUGAUCACCAUUAGACUUUCCAUGCAGAUGAUAUUAUGCAUAUACAUAUCUCCCGCAUAUGACGUCAUUGGAUCGUUUUGCAAUGGUGGGGGGUUUAUUCUUUUCCUUUUUGUUUUCUUCUUUUUUUUGUCAGAUGAAGAAACUGAUGGGAAGUGAAUUGGUUUGUAUUAAACAUUAGGUUUGCUAGGUCUCUCACAUAUUUAUUUAGUCCUCAUAACAAUUGUAUAAAAUAAAUAUUAUUUAUUCAUUUAUUUAUUUGUAAAGAUGGGUCUCGCUAUGUUGCCCAGGCUGGUCUUGAACUCCCGGGCUCAAGUGAUCCUCCUGCCUUGGACUUCCAAAAUAUUGGGAUUAAAGGUAUGCGCUACUGCACCCGGCCUAAAAGAAAUACUAUUAUCCCCAUUUUACAGAUUUGUAAACAGAAGCUGACACUUCAGAGUUCCAUCCUAAUGAAAGUAGGAUGUGACAGGGGAGCAAAUCUGCUUUGCCCCUGCCCAAGGGCUGGCAGCUCCUCCUCCUGGGGUGCAUGGUGAGUGGGUACACCACUCAUCUGUAUGUACCCGGCAGAAGCUGUCAAUUCAGUUCACGUCACUCAAGUUGAAUGGAUGUAAAACACACACAGAAGCACCAAGUAAUUGCAUUGUUUUCAAAUUACUCACCUCUAGGAGAAUUAAAUGAGCAAACGGAAGAGCAGCAACCCUGAGUUACAUUUCUCAAGACACCGGGGCUCUUGAUGGCACAGCAGCAGCUUGCUAGAGCUUGGUAAAGAGACUUGGGCCUGGUACCUGAAGGGCAAUUCCUUGGCCAUGACAUUGUAGGGAAAGACCUCUAUGGGUGUUGAAAAGACAAGGCGAGGACAAGAAGAGUUGAAAAGGAGCUGUUCUGAAGCCACCUGGCUGUGGAUGGAGGAAGCCACAUGUAGCUUAGGUAGCCUGCUAUUGUAAUUUUUUCUGCAACUGAAGAAUUCGAAAUGGGUUUGGUGGGUAGCGAAGGGCAGAAUCUGGCUUCAAGGUGACAGAGUUUGCAUAGAGAUGGCCUUCUUGAGCAAAGGUAGUGACUCCUACAUUUUUUUUUUUUGUAGAGUUGUGAUACCCAUGAGUUAGUCAGCUUGGGCUAUCAUAACAAAAUACCACACAUUGGUUGGCUUAAACAACAGAAAUUCAUUUUCCUGUAAUUCUGGAGGCUGGAAGUCCAAGAUCAAGGUGACGACAGAGUUGGGUUUCCUCUGAAGCCUCUCUCCUUGGUUUUCAGAUGGGUGUCCUCUUGCUGUCUCUUCAUGUGACUGUCCCUCUGCAUGUGUGCCCCUGGGGACUCUUUCUUAUCUUAUAGUGACACUAGUUCUAUUGGAUUGAAGUGUACCCAUACGACCUCAUUUAAACUUAAUUACAUAUUGUAAGGCCCUAACUUCAAAUACAGUCACAUCCUGAGGUACUGUGUAUUAGGGCUUCAACAUAUAAAUUUUGGGGCAAUCCAGUUCAGCCCAUAAAAUCCCUUUUUGGUUGCUUGAUUCUGUUUAUUUGGUGUCAUGCCUUCCUUUUCCUAAAGAACUUCAUGAAUAGAAUUACUUUCUAAGUGAAAGGAACAAAACUGAUUUUUAUUAAAAAUUAUUUUGAGAUGCUUGUGACAAAUUUUGAAGUAAGUGAAGAUUUUCCUGGAGCUUCUACAAAAUCCUGGCUGAGAAUCCCUGCUUUCUGGACAGUUGAGAAGGAAAUACACUUAGUACAGCUGUUAGAGAGAUAUAGUUGCAACCACUGAGUGCUUAUUAUCUGCCAACUUAAAUAUAUUGCCCAAGGGAAUAACAAAUAUUCUAGUGUUCUUGUUAAGUAUAUUGUCUAAGGUCACACAGCUCUUAAACAACAGCUUCAGGAUUUGAACCUGGAAUCUAUCUGACUCCUAAGUCCAGAUGCUGUUCACCACAUUAGGUUGAAGCAUGGCCAGUGUUCAUAACAUACAACUAUGUCUCCAUAUCUUUUGCUAACCAAUGUUCUUGUAUGUGCAUACCUUACAGGGCAGCCAUUCACCACAAGCCCUACUAGAUGGCUUCCUGUAAUAAGGGUAGAACAGUAGUACUCUCCUUUUGAGAAGUUAUUUGUAAUUUUGUUGGUGGGCUGACAUUUAGGCCCUGCUCUCCAGCCCCAGAGGGGAUCCCAUAACCUAGAUCAGGCCAAUGAUGAUUAUCUCCGUGACUGUAGUGGCUGGUCCAGCGGGGAGGGUCAGGCAGGUAAGCUGGCCCAACCUGAGUCCUUCUUGAGGAUUUUAGAAACUGAAGGUAGGAGAGAAAAAUUCUCUCUUUUCUUCUGGGGAACGGGAUGAAGGUGGUGGGUAGGCAGAGCUGUUGGGAUGUGGAUCCAGGGAUUCUGGAAGUCCUGUCCUCCACCAUGUAAAGAAUACAUCCUGCAGAAGGAGAGAAGGGAGCCAGCACACAGAGAAGCAGAGUCAGGAGAUGGAGAAGGAGAAUCCUGAGAGCCUGAAGGUCCCUGGGUCCAGCCAUUGUCAAGGCCGAGUUCUACCGUCCUUAAGUUGUUUACCUUUCUUUCUUGCUUGCUUCUGUUAGAAGAUGAACACUCAAUGAAAAAUCACCAAACAUCUGAGGAAAGCCAUCAAAAUGAAAUAAACGAAACACACAAGUUCCUAAACACAAGUGAACAGCGUGGGCUGGGUUUUUGUCGCUUGGAACUGGAAACGCUGACGAUAAUGCUGACCUCUGAGCAGACCCACGUGAGGGGCAGCUGUGGUGUGGUGUGAUGAUGCUGGGAUAGGCACUCAGAUGGUUGAGUCUGAGUUUGGCUCUGAUAUUAUAUCAACUGCAUGGGCAGCUGUGGUGUGGUGUGAUGAUGCUGGGAUAGGCACUCAGAUGGUUGAGUCUGAGUUUGGCUCUGAUAUUAUAUCAACUGCAUGGGCAGCUGUGGUGUGGUGUGAUGAUGCUGGGAUAGGCACUCAGAUGGUUGAGUCUGAGUUUGGCUCUGAUAUUAUAUCAACUGCAUGGGCAGCUGUGGUGUGGUGUGAUGAUGCUGGGAUAGGCACUCAGAUGGUUGAGUCUGAGUUUGGCUCUGAUAUUAUAUCAACCGCAUCAUUUUGGGGAAGACACAAUUUCUCAGAAUUUUAUUUAGUUGUAAAAUAAAGAUAAUGAUAUUACAUGCUCUGUCUACCAUCUAGAGUUUUUGUCAAGACAAAC